rnacentral:rRNA from 1 species
AGGACGAACGCUGGCGGCGUGCUUAACACAUGCAAGUCGAGCGGAAAGGCCCUUUCGGGGGUACUCGAGCGGCGAACGGGUGAGUAACACGUGAGUAACCUGCCCCCUACUUUGGGAUAACCCUCGGAAACGGGGGCUAAUACCGGAUAUGACACCUUGGGGCAUCUUGGGGUGUGGAAAGUUUUUCGGUGGGGGAUGGGCUCGCGGCCUAUCAGCUUGUUGGUGGGGUAAUGGCCUACCAAGGCGACGACGGGUAGCC